rnacentral:rRNA from 1 species
GAUGAACGCUGGCGGCGUGCCUAAUACAUGCAAGUCGAGCGAACAGACGCGGAGCUUGCUCCUCUGACGUUAGCGGCGCACGUGUGAGUAACACGUGGAUAACCUACCUAUAAGACUGGGAUCACUUCGGGAAACCGGAGCUAAUCCCGGAUAAUAUAUUGAACCGCAUGGUUCAAUAGUGAAAGACGGCUUUGCUGUCACUUAUAGAUGGAUCCGCGCCGCAUUAGCUAGUUGGUAAGGUAACGGCUUACCAAGGCAACGAUGCGUAGCCGACCUGAGAGGGUGAUCGGCCGCACGGGAACGGAGACACGGUCCAGACUCCUACGGGAGGCAGCAGUAGGGAAUCUGCCGCAAUGGGCGAAAGCCUGACGGAGCAACGCCGCGUGAGUGAUGAAGGUCUUCGGAUCGUAAAACUCUGUUAUGAGGGAAGAACAAAUGUGUAAGUAACUAUGCACGUCUUGACGGUACCUAAUCAGAAAGCCACGGCUAACUACGUG